UAAUGUCGACAUUUCCACUCCCAAUGACGCUCUCUGUUACACUACCUACCCUCAAGCUCGACAGUACUGCUUAGGAGAGAAGAAAUACUGUGUUCAACUUUGAGUUUGGGAAGAGUGGAGAAAUCCUGCAGAUUGUUUGCAUAAAUACUCCAAAUGUGAAGAGGCUCUGCACAGGACAAUUCCGGAAGGCACUUCCCAACAUCAACCUAGCAAUAGCUUACAUCAUCAUCAUCUGCUACCAUUGCCUGGCAGGCUCGAGCCAAGGAUUCAUCCAGCUAUCCAAUCUACACAAAUAUAUGCUGAGCUGCUCUUCUGUACUAGACAAAGAACAAAGCGGCCCUAGAGACGCAAUGGGGCACAAACAUCUCGUAUCAUUGGUCUUCAGUAUAGGAAUAGCAUAACCACAGAGUCACAGACCACUUUCAAUGGCCAAGUUCUGUGAAAAGGAAGAAUGCAGCCAUGCGAGGCCACAAGGAGGCUCUUCCUGGGGUAGUGAUACCAACAGAAUGAUGCAUUUGAUCAGAAACAUGAAGAUGAGUUACCUAAAGGGGAGAUUUUAAAAAAACCAAAAACAUUCUCAUUGAAAGGGACACAGGCAAGGCCACGCAGCAAGGCAAGAAGAAAACCAGGAAGGCUGGGUGGCAAAUGAGAGAGGCAACUGACAGCAGUGAAGACCGCCUCGUGACAGAUCUUUCACAGCUUUGCAAACUGACCUUAAAUAAUUCGUCUUCAGAACAAGAGACCAAGAGGAGGCUGUUUCUGUAGAAGCCAUACUGACACAUGGUAAAGGAAUAAGCCAGCAAUUCUGCCUCAAGGACUGCAGGGAAGCGCACAACCCCUUUGACCUGGGUAUUAAGAACUUGGUGGUACUGAAUAUUAUCUAAAAAUAGUAAUGUAAUCUCAAACUCAGUAAUAUUAACCAGAGUUAAGAUUUUCUUUUAAAGAUCCAGGACUUCCCCAGAGUGUUUAUUUUCAAUCAGACCAAAAACCAUUGUUCCAAGAACCAUUGUUCUUGAAGACAGGACACACAAGAUAUGCUAUCUUAACAAACACAUGGAACUAGUUACCUCAUCCACAGCAAAACAAACUCCACCAAAAUAUAAAAGAUAGGAAUGAAAAUCUUUACUUUAUGGUCACAUUGUCUCCAAAAGAACCACAUCUUAGAAGCUGGGCCAGUGGGUGCAACUGCACAAAUGUUUAGCUUACUUGGGGUCUCAGUUGUUCUCAUGUGUAAGCUGAAGCAUCAGCCUAGUUUAUGUUCUUCUAAGUCUGAAUCUAUGAAUUUACUCCUAGAAAGCAAUAUGUACAUGUUAGUAAUUUAAUGUAAAUAGAAUGGAAUGCAUUGGAUGCAAAUGUGUGAGUGGGAAGAAGAGGUUUUGCAUAUGAACUGUUCUGGGUCUUCACAUUACAUGGGCAGAAGCUGCACUAAUGUUAUUGAUAGUCCACUAUGCAUAUGGUCUUAAUGCUAUUACUUAGUCUUCAGAAAUUCCUUGUGAGAUAGAUUUUAAGAAAGCCGACACAGACUCAAAAAUCUGUUCCAAGUCCUUUAGUUCAGUCAUUCUCACCUUAUUUUUUGAGACAGGGUCUCACUGAACUUGGAAUUCACUGAUGCCUAGACUGGCUGCCAGUGGACUAUUAGGAUCCUCUGGUUCCAAGUCCCCAGUGCUGGGCUUGUAGAAAUGCACAGCACAUCUAGGUAUUUUUCUCUUCAUCUUAUGUUGAUGGCUGUUUUGCUUACACGUAUGUCUAUGUGCCCUGGAUGUCUAGUGGCUGUGAACAUCAGAAGAUGCCAUCAGCUCCUCUCAGACUGCAAUUACAGUCACUUAUAAGUCAUUAUGUGGGUGCUGGGAAUUGAACCCAGAGCCUCUGGAAGACCAACCAAUGCGUUUACCAGCUGAUCCAUCUCUGCAGUUCUACCUGUUUUAGUUUGUUUUUCCUUCCUGAUGUGUGUGCUAAAGAUCUGAACUCAGAACUCAGAUUCUCAUGCUUGCAUGGCAAACAAAUUCACUGACUGAGGCAUCUCCCCAGCUUCUAAGAGUUGAAACUUAAAAUAAAAAAGACUUAAGUAUUGAAGGAAACGGGGAUAACCACUAGAAUUAUAAAUAUGGAAUUCACGUGGUCUGUUGAAUAAGUACCAAGAAUUUGACUACAUUCUCACAUGUUAAAAGUGAUUAAUAGACUUGACUAAAGUAAUUAAACAUGUUUUCCGAGAUGUGGCUGUGAAGGUAUGCUUUCCCUGAGCACUCAGCCAACUGGUUUUGGUGUCCUUCGUCCUUCCUGUGGCAGCAGAGGACACACCAAGGACUUUUCCUCCAGAAAGGUUUUAAAAGAACAAGUAGAUAUUGAAUUUUAACCACUGUCUCACUUCAUCUUACAUUGAAGACUAUUUGUGAACUUUGUUUUUCCUUUUUUCUUACAUUCUAUGGACCUGGACAAAGGACUUCUACAGGAUUUUGCUGUUCUGGGAAGUGGCUACAUACUUUAUAUCGAGCCACGUCUAUGACUUUCCUUCUUGGAUGUGAGUCUGAUCUAUGUGAACCACAUAAUUCAUGGUUUUGGUGCCUAGAUUUGUUCUCAUAGGAGUUGCCCUCAGGAAACACUUGGUGUUUCAAGUCUGUUCCUUGGUGCACUACAUAGGACUUAUGUACACGUGAUUCAGCAGCAGUAGUAGUGAUGUCAUAGCCCUGGCUUGAUGGGCACAGUCAACUUCAAGCCUUUCUAUGGUAGCAGCAAAAGGUAUGCCAUAGGUAAUACUUGCCUAUGAAUGUGGCCAUAUCCUCAUCUGAUAAUCAAUAAACUGAGUUUGAGUUUUGAU